rnacentral:rRNA from 1 species
GUCUACGGCUGUGCUACCCUGAACAAGCCCAAUUCCAUAUGAUCUCGGAAAUUAAGCAGGGUAAGGCCUGGUUAGUACUUGGAUGGGAGACUAUCUAGGAAGACCAGAUGCUGUAGACG